AUGAAAGAGAAAGACAACAAUCUAAUUCAAAUCCAUGAGAUGGAAGCUCACAUGUUCAAGUGCUUGCUCUAUUUCAUAUACACCGACACGCUACCCGCUCCUGAGAUGGGAAGUCUAGAUGUGACGAUGGCUAGCCAUCUGCUCGUGGCGGCGGGCAGGUACAACGUUGAGAGGCUGAAGCUGAUAUGCGAGCACAAGCUAUGCAACCACAUCGAUGCCGGUAUGGUGGCGACCAGCUUGGUUUUGGCUGAGCAGCAUACUUGUCAUGGGCUAAAGAAAGCAUGUCUGCAGUUCCUUGCCUCUCCCUCCAAUUUGCGGACGAUGAUGGCAAGUGAUGGCUAUGAGCAUCUGAAAAGCAGCUGCCCGUUUGUCCUUGGAGAGCUCAUUGCUAGGCCCAUACCGAUUCCGCUCGAAGCAGCCAAGGAUAUUAUCUUGGCAAUUUUAGUAGUAUGGCUUGAUCGUCGCUCAUAA
rnacentral:rRNA from 1 species